GCGGGAGCACGAUGUUUGCUAAAACGUGACGUAGGGUAAAUCGUGCUGUUAUCGAAAAGGACUGGUAUUCGUACGCAUUCCGUUUCGUACACUUUUGUUAAAUGUGGAUCUCUCGUCAACCCAAACCAUCGUCAUGUGAUUGAUGAGGCAAGAAAUAUGGGAUCAUAUCGUCAGAUAUACAGG